AUUGAACGCUGGCGGCAGGCCUAACACAUGCAAGUCGAGCGAGCGGCGGACGGGUGAGUAAUGCCUGGGAAUUGCCCAGUCGAGGGGGAUAACAGUUGAAAACGACUACUAAUACCGCAUACGAUUGGAUUGCCCAGGUGGGAUUAGCUAGUGGGUGGGGUAAUGGCUCACCAAGGCCACGACCCCUAGCGGGUCUGAGAGGAUGAUCAGCCACACUGGAACUGAGACACGGUCCAGACUCCUACGGGAGGCAGCAGUGGGGAAUAUUGCACAAUGGGGGAAAGCCUGAUGCAGCCAUGCCGCGUGUGUGAAGAAGGCCUUCGGGUUGUAAAGCACUUGCAGCGGGGAGGCGUUACUCGCAGAAGAAGCACCGGCUAACUCCGUGCCAGCAGCCGCGGUAAUAC
rnacentral:rRNA from 1 species